CCGCUGUAGAGCCCGCAGGAUGCGCACCACGGGCAGGGGCUCGAUGGGACCGCAGACCGUCAGGUCCCGGCGAGGCGCCAGAAGCAACCGAGCCGCGAGCGACAACAGCCGCAGCCGCCGUGCGAGAGCCAUACUCCGCUUGCUGCGGGAGAGGCGCACGACAGUGACGUCACAGGCGCGCCAAGGCCUCGCGGACGGUGGCCGGCGCGGCUCAGUAAGGCCCGCGGACUCGGCGAACUGUGUGGAAGGAGCGGGAUCUGUAGAGCUCAGCAGCGGCGAGGUACAAAACAAAGAAUCGCUUUGCACAAAGCCAGAAGGGAUACACUGAAAGGAUGAUCAGAAAAGAAUAAUACAUAGGUACAAAACAAAGAAUCGCUUUGCACAAAGCCAGAAGGGAUACACUGAAAGGAUGAUCAGAAAAGAAUAAUACAUAGGUACAAAACAAAGAAUCGCUUUGCACAAAGCCAGAAGGGAUACACUGAAAGGAUGAUCAGAAAAGAAUAAUACAUAGCAGGCCCACCGCUAGGCCUCUCACCUGAAAAGUCCAGAAUCGGGAAGACACAGGCUGUAUCAGUUGCCCUGCGGCCUUAUUCACAAUAGCCAAGAUGGUGAAGCAACCCAAAUGUCCAUCAACAGGUGAAUGGAUAAAGAAGAAGAGGUCCAUGUACACAAUGGAAUAUUCACCAUGGAGAACAAUGAAUUACUGCUCUUUGAGGCACCACAGAUGAGCCUAGAGAUAAUCAUGGAACAUGAGAAACAAAAACGGCUUGGAAAAAUGAUGAAUUUUGGGUAUUUGUAAAGACACGCAAACCCAAAUUACAAAAACCUAUCAGCUCACAGCAGUCAGAAUGGCCAUUAGCAAAAAUGCUGCAAGCAAUAAAUGCUGAAGUGAUCGUGGGGAAGUGCGUACCCUCCGUUCUAGGGGGGAUGUGGUAAGGGCCACUAAUGAAAACACAAUGGAGGUGCUUUGAAAAGGGAAACAUUGCGCUACCAGGCAAUCAGUCAUACCCACUGCUGGACCUGUCACCUGAGAAAAUGAGAAUCAAAACCUCACAGACUGGCAAUUCUGCACUCCAGCAAUACUUACCAUAGCCAACACUUGGAAGCACCGAAAAUGUCCAUCAACAGAGGAGUGCACCAAGCAGCAGUGGUCCAUGUACACAAUGGAAUAUUACUCCAAUAAAAAGUUUAAAUUAAAUUUAAAAACAAACAUAAGUAAGGAGACGUAAGCAUUUGGGGGUUUAUCUGGGCACAUUCCUCUCUAAUUUAUAACCGAGGAACACCACUGGCAGGAAGGUCUGUUUCCCUAGUACCAGCGUGGGGAACUUAGAAAGGCUGCCACCCUCUGGCCGUUACCUGCAAAAGCAGCUUUAAAGCCUGUGCUAAUGGUCACUUCAUGUGAACAAGUACUGCAGGGCUGUAAAUGAAACCUGCCUUCAAAAUGUCUUGAGGGAGGUAAUGGCCAAAAAAUUUCAAAAUGUGACACAUACUUUAAGAAAACACUUUGAAGAGCUAAGCUGUAAUCACAGUUUGAAAAUUAAGAAGGACAUGCCUUAAAGCUUAAUGUCAAGGGAUUAUGAGACACGGAAAUUCAACCACAAAGAGGUAUCAGUUCACACCCCUCAGAAUAACCUUCAGCACGAAACCCAUAAUAAAUAAAUGCUGGGGCUUCCCUGGUGGCGCAGUGGUUGAGAGUCCACCUGCGAUGCAGGGGACGCGGGUUCGUACUCCGUUCUGGGAAGAUCCCACAUGCCGCGGGUGCCUGUGCUCCGCAACAGGAGAGGCCACAACAGUGAGAGGCCCGUGUACCGCAAAACAAACAAACGAAAAUAAAUGAAUGAAUGAAUGCAUGCAUGCAUGCAUGCUGAAGGUGUUGUGGAGAAAUGCAUACCCUGAACUUUCAGUGGGAUGUACCCUGGAAAGAGCCACUAAUGAGAACAGAAUGGAGAUGCCUUUAAAAGGUACACAUUGAACUACAAUAUCAUUCAGCAGUCCCAUUCCUGGACCUAUAACCAAAGAAGACAGAAUUGGAAAGGCACAGGAAGGCAAAUGUGCACUGCACAGUAUUACAAUAGCCAAGAUAUGGAAGUAACCAAAAAGUCCAGCAACAGAUGAGUGGACAAAAAAGAACUGGUACCAGUACAGACAAAAUAUUAGCCAAGGAAAAAAGGGACACAUUGCCCUGUGCAGCACCGUAGAUGAUUCUAGAUGUAAUCACACAACCUGGAGUAAGUCAGAAAGAGAAAGACACAUAUCGUAUGAUAUCACUUAUAGGUGUUACCUAAAAAUUGAUACCAGUGAAGAUAUUCCCACAGAGAAGGGCUAUCAGAGAUUCAUUAAACAAAUUUAUGGUUCACCAAUGGAAAGGUGUGAGGAUUGGAUACAUUAGGAUAUUGGGGUUAACAGACGUAUACAAACACAGGUGAAAUAUAUAAUCACCAAAGACCUACGGAAUACCAAGAGAAGACUAUUCAACAUUCUGUCAUAACGUACAUGGGAUAAGGAUCCCAGGAAGAACAGACAUAUGUAUAUGUGUAAAAGAACCACAUCUUGCACACCUAGAACAAGCCAAACGUUGUAAUCAAACUUGCAGUAAUAAAAAAUAAAAAAUUAAAUUAAAAAAAGAACAAGAAAUAGUGAGACAAACUUGAGGGGCUUUCUCCUGGCACAUUCCAUUCUAAAUUACAAUCUAGAACACGACUUCCAUUGAGGCUCUGCUGCCCUAGUAACCAGAUUUGGUAAGCGAGAACUGCUGCCACCUUGUGGCCGUUUCACACAACAGCAGCUUUAAUCCCAGCGCUAAUGGUCAGUUGAUAUUCCAAAUAAUUGCAGGCCUGUAAAUGACACCUGCCCUGAAAACAAAUCCUGGGGUCAUAUAUCGACCAAAAAAUUCAAAAGACGUCCAUAUUUCAAAACGACAGUUUCAAGAGGCAUAA